rnacentral:rRNA from 1 species
ACGAACGCUGGCGGCGUGCUUAACACAUGCAAGUCGAACGGUGAAGCGCCUUCCUUUUUGGUGGGUGUGGAUGAGUGGCGAACGGGUGAGUAACACGUGAGUAACCUGCCCCCUUCUUCUGGAUAACCGCAUGAAAGUGUGGCUAAUACGGGAUAUUCUGGGUCUGUCGCAUGAUGGGUCUGGGAAAGAUAUUGUUUCGGUGGGGGAUGGGCUCGCGGCCUAUCAGCUUGUUGGUGGGGUGAUGGCCUACCAAGGCGGUUACGGGUAGCCGGCCUGAGAGGGUGGACGGUCACACUGGGACUGAGACACGGCCCAGACUCCUACGGGAGGCAGCAGUGGGGAAUAUUGCACAAUGGGCGCAAGCCUGAUGCAGCGACGCCGCGUGAGGGAUGGAGGCCUUCGGGUUGUGAACCUCUUUCGCCAGUGAAGCAGGCCUGCCUCGUUUGUGGGUGGGUUGACGGUAGCUGGAUAAGAAGCGCCGGCUAACUACGUG